rnacentral:misc_RNA from 1 species
GAUGAAGAACGUAGCGAAAUGCGAUAAGUAGUGUGAAUUGCAGAAUUCAGUGAAUCAUCGAAUCUUUGAACGCACAUUGCGCCCCUUGGUAUUUCAUGGGGCAUGCCUGUUCGAGCGUCAUUUGUACCUUCAAGCUUUGCUUGGUGUUGGGUGUUUGUCCCUCGGGACUCGCCUUAAAGUCAUUGGCAGCCAGUGUUUUGGUUUUGAAGCGCAGCACAAGUCGCGAUUCAAGGCUAUCCGCCCGCUUCCACAAGCCUUUUUCACUUUUGACCUCGGAUCAGGUAGGGAUACCCGCUGAACUUAAGCAUAUCAAUAAGCGGAGGA